rnacentral:rRNA from 1 species
AGUGAACGCUGGCGGCAGGCCUAACACAUGCAAGUCGAGCGGCAGCGGGUCCUUCGGGCUGCCGGCGAGCGGCGGACGGGUGAGGAAUACAUCGGAAUCUGCCCUGUCGUGGGGGAUAACCUAGGGAAACUUAGGCUAAUACCGCAUACGACCUACGGGUGAAAGCGGGGGAUCGCAAGACCUCGCGCGAUAGGAUGAGCCUAUGUCCGAUUAGCGAGUUGGCGGGGUAAAGGCCCACCAAGGCGACGAUCGGUAGCUGGUCUGAGAGGAUGAUCAGCCACACUGGGACUGAGACACGGCCCAGACUCCUACGGGAGGCAGCAGUGGGGAAUAUUGGACAAUGGGCGCAAGCCUGAUCCAGCCAUGCCGCGUGGGUGAAGAAGGCCUUCGGGUUGUAAAGCCCUUUUGUCCGGGAAGAAAUCGUCUGGGCUAAUACCCCGGGCGGAUGACGGUACCGGAAGAAUAAGCACCGGCUAACUUCGUG